CCUUCGGGAGACAGCAGUGAGGAAUAUUGGUCAAUGGGCGCGAGCCUGAACCAGCCAAGUAGCGUGAAGGAUGACUGCCCUACGGGUUGUAAACUUCUUUUAUAACGGAAUAAAGUGUUCCACGUGUGGGUUUUUGUAUGUACCUUAUGAAUAAGGAUCGCCUAACUCCGUGCCAGCAGCCGCGGUAAUACGGAGGAUCCGAGCGUUAUCCGGAUUUAUUGGGUUGAAAGGGAGCGUAGGUGGGUUGUUAAGUCAGUUGUGAAAGUUUGCGGCCCAACCGUAAAAUUGCAGUUGAAACUGGCAGCCUUGAGUACAGUAGAGGUAGGCGGAAUUCGUGGUGUAGCGGUGAAAUGCUUAGAUAUCACGAAGAACUCCGAUUGCGAAGGCAGCCUACUAGACUGCCACUGACACUGAGGCUCGAAAGUGUGGGUAUCAAACAGGAUUAGAUACCCGUGUAGUC
rnacentral:rRNA from 1 species